GAUGAGCGCUAGCUACAGGCUUAACACAUGCAAGUCGAGGGGCAGCAUGGUCUUAGCUUGCUAAGGCCGAUGGCGACCGGCGCACGGGUGAGUAACACGUAUCCAACCUGCCGUCUACUCUUGGACAGCCUUCUGAAAGGAAGAUUAAUACAAGAUGGCAUCAUGAGUCCGCAUGUUCACAUGAUUAAAGGUAUUCCGGUAGACGAUGGGGAUGCGUUCCAUUAGAUAGUAGGCGGGGUAACGGCCCACCUAGUCUUCGAUGGAUAGGGGUUCUGAGAGGAAGGUCCCCCAAAUUGGAACUGAGACACGGUCCAAACUCCUACGGGAGGCAGCAGUGAGGAAUAUUGGUCAAUGGGCGCAGGCCUGAACCAGCCAAGUAGCGUGAAGGAUGACUGCCCUAUGGGUUGUAAACUUCUUUUAUAAAGGAAUAAAGUCGGGUAUGUAUACCCGUUUGCAUGUACUUUAUGAAUAAGGAUCGGCUAACUCCGU
rnacentral:rRNA from 1 species